AAAGCGUGCGCAGGCGGUCUUGUAAGACAGAGGUGAAAUCCCCGGGCUCAACCUGGGAACUGCCUUUGUGACUGCAAGGCUAGAGUACGGCAGAGGGGGAUGGAAUUCCGCGUGUAGCAGUGAAAUGCGUAGAUAUGCGGAGGAACACCGAUGGCGAAGGCAAUCCCCUGGGCCUGUACUGACGCUCAUGCACGAAAGCGUGGGGAGCAAACAGGAUUAGAUACCCUGGU
rnacentral:rRNA from 1 species